CUGGGGAGACGGGCGGCGGCCGGGUUACCUGGGAGAGCCUGGGUUGGAAGAGAUGAGACCUUCUCUUCUCUCCCUAGUCCGGCAGCUUCGCUCUUCCCAGCACUUUGCAUUUAUUAAUUAACGCUUCCUGAAGUCUAGCAACAAGUGGGGGACAGAACCUGCCUCUGUCAGAAAGAGAAACUGAGGUCCCGAGGGUCUCCUCGCUUGGCACAAUGACUGGAAUUUGAGUUUCAUAGGGCCUUCCGACACAUGUGUUCCGUCCAGUCCCAGAAAUUGGCGUAAAAAUUAUCCAGCUUCACCUUGGAGAAUUUUGUAAAACAUUUAACACACAUUCCGUGUGUCUGGAAUGCGACUGGGGAAAAUAUGUAUUUUUCAGCGCCCGUCCCCCGAGGUGAUUCUGAUGUGGGUAGUGUUGGUACAAGAGCAACAUACAGGCAGUCACGUAUUAUUUCAAGUCCCUCGUGGCAAUGAAGUUCAAGUGCAACUGCCAUAAAUAAAGAUAAGCUAUUCUUUAUCCUCAAAAACAAAUAUGGUUGGGAGAUUCGCUAGUUUGGCUGGAGGUCGCCUACUGAGAAACUCAGGACAGUUCCCUGAGUGGGUCAUGCCAAGAACUGAGUCUGAAGGGCGCCGGGCUGGGCUAAAGCAACAAGGUAGUCUUGUUCUCUAACUCUCUAGACAAUGCUUAAAUACUUAAAUGGCAAAACACACCCUUCCUUGUUGCCAUCACCAGGCCCAGUCAUAACCCCAGGAAGGUGCCUGGAUUCCAACGCCAUCCAGCCCUGCCCAUUCUCCCAAACACAUGCCUCUCCUCCUCCCGGUGUCCCGGACAUCCAUCUGACCCAGAAGCCCCUGCCUGAAAAUGCAGAAACGGAAGCUCACAGAAGACUGGUAAUGUGUCCAAGGUCACAAGACUAGCUUAAGAAAGAGCCAGCCUUCAUGACCUCCUAACUGCCUGCUCCAGUGCCUGCCAAAGUGCCCUUCCUUCUUGCCAGAAACAGGACAGC